AUUGAACGCUGGCGGCAUGCCUUACACAUGCAAGUCGAACGGCAGCACGGGAGCAAUCCUGGUGGCGAGUGGCGAACGGGUGAGUAAAGUAUCGGAACGUGCCCAGUCGUGGGGAAUAACGUAGCGAAAGUUACGCUAAUACCGCAUACGAUCUAUGGAUGAAAGCGGGGGAUCGCAAGACCUCGCGCGAUUGGAGCGGCCGAUAUCAGAUUAGGUAGUUGGUGGGGUAAAGGCUCACCAAGCCGACGAUCUGUAGCUGGUCUGAGAGGACGACCAGCCACACUGGGACUGAGACACGGCCCAGACUCCUACGGGAGGCAGCAGUGGGGAAUUUUGGACAAUGGGCGAAAGCCUGAUUCAGCCAUGCCGCGUGCAGGAUGAAGGCCUUCGGGUUGUAAACUGCUUUUGUACGGAACGAAAAGGUUUGGGCUAAUAAGCUGAGCUCAUGACGGUACCGUAAGAAUAAGCACCGGCUAACUACGUGCCAGCCGCCGCAGUAA
rnacentral:rRNA from 1 species